rnacentral:rRNA from 1 species
UACGGAGGGGGCUAGCGUUGUUCGGAAUUACUGGGCGUAAAGCGCACGUAGGCGGCUUUGUAAGUUAGAGGUGAAAGCCCGGAGCUCAACUCCGGAAUUGCCUUUAAGACUGCAUCGCUAGAAUUGUGGAGAGGUGAGUGGAAUUCCGAGUGUAGAGGUGAAAUUCGUAGAUAUUCGGAAGAACACCAGUGGCGAAGGCGACUCACUGGACACAUAUUGACGCUGAGGUGCGAAAGCGUGGGGAGCAAACAGG